rnacentral:RNase_P_RNA from 1 species
AAGGAGAAUUGAGCUAUCGGGGGUUAGCCCCAGGAAAGUCCGGACAGCAUAGAGCAGCAUCCUGUGGAAAGCACAGAUAGGUGAAAGCUUAUGUGUCGUGCAACAGAAAACUACCGCCUUUUAUUAGGUAAGGGUGAAAACGUGAGGUAAGAGCUCACGACGGUCUAUGGCGACAUAGAUUGGGUGUAUGCCGAUGCGCUGCAAGGCCAUGUAUACUGACAGUUAAGGGCUGCUCGCCCGUUGUCAGGGGGUAGGCUGCAUUAGAUAAAUGAUAGCUCCGCUUCGGCGGUACAGAAUUCGGCUUAUAGAUUCUCCCCAAAG